AGUGAGUUCCAGGACAGCCAGGGAUACACAGAGAAGCCCUGCCUCAGGGAAAAAAAAAAAAAAACAAAAAAACCAAACAAACAAAAAAAAAGAAUUGGAACUUUCAUAGUAAAGAUUAAGUUUAUAUAACUGUUUUGAAGGAAUAGCUACUUACUAAAUCUUUCAAUCUCAUUUAUUUAGGAUGUAUAAUAAAAGUAUUAAUGGUUUAUAUACAAAACUCUGAAAGAAGCACUGAAGAGUAUAAGGCAGAUAGAGCAUAAAGAAUAUAGAACAUCUUUAUCAAGACAAUUGCAGAUGAGUCAUCUUAAGGCAAAGCACAUCCAGUGUAAUUGUUGGUUUUCUAAUAAAGCUUUCCCAGGCUGGCCUAAAACCUAUGUGGUUGUCUUGUAAUUUGUCCUAAAUUUUCACUCAAGUGCAGUAACUGACCAUAUUUCAUGAUAUUUAAAUUAAUCUGUAACUUUUUGAGGAAAAAAUUUUAUAUUUUGUUGCCAUAUUCUUUUAAUUUUUAUUGGCAUUGUUAUUACAAAUGAUUCAUUAACUAGAACAAAAAGAGAUCAGUUGCUGUUGAGCAUACGGAAGAUGUAUUGGGGAUUCCUGAAAGGUGCUAUUACCAGACCCACCAUUCCUUUGUUGUUCUAGCAAGUAUUAAAAUGAGUCGGACUUCCAUAUGACAGACUAUAGGAGGGACCUGUGGUCUAGUGGUUUGACUCAUUCUGGGCACAUAGAAGCACUGGGCAAAAGGUGCUGGAUAAGGAAGGACCCUGCUUUGAUGCAGCAUGCGGUUUACUGAUGGCAGAUGGAGCAGUAGCUUAAACAAUCAUUUUGUAUACUUUGGACUUCUGAGGAGGGACAGUCAGCAUGGUAAUGUGGGGGGUAGUAGAUAAUACUGUUUACAGGUAGGAACAAAGCUUAAUUCUGUCAUUGCAGACCACGGUGACCCUGAGUACAUCAGCUUAGCAUCUUAGGUUCCUAAGUUCUGAAAUGGAAAUAAGCCAUCUUUUUAAAAAAUAGGAUUGUUUUUAAUUAGUUUUAUUUUCUGAGGACCUAAAUACUAUCUUAGUGAAGUACUGGUACAGAGGUCUGUAUACACCUGUUGGGAGUAAGUGGCAGUAGUUUGUUGCAGGGAAGUUUAUUCCUAAAAUGAUGUGAACUGUACAGGCUUGUUCUUGUAGCUUGCUAGAACAAGAUAAGGAACAAUACUGGCAUUCUUUAAUUUACUACUCCCCAGUCAUUUGUCAUUUAUAAUUUUUGUCAUUCUAAUUCUUGAGCUCUUAGAUUUAGUCACUUUUUUUUUUUCUGAUGGCUUUGUUGAGAUAUAAUAUGCUGUAAAAUUACCCACUUAAACCAUGCAGUUUACCGGUGUUUAAUAUGUCCUGAGUGCUGUGCUAUCACUCAGUGAGUUUUUGAAAUCUGUCAUCUCUAAGAAAUCCCAUACCCACUAAUUAAGCAGCCAGUCAGCUGAUAUCUCCAGUAAUCCCUCACAGCUGUGGGCGGGCAGCUGUUAAUCUCUGCACUGUGCCACAGAUUGGUCUUUUCUGCACACAUGACUGGAUUCCCUUACUUGGCUUGCUAUUCUCAAAGUGCAUCUCUAUUUAACAUAUAUUAACAUUUCAUUCUUUUUAAAUUGAUGAAUGAUGUUUUAAUUUUAUUUUUUUUAUUCAUCAAUUGUUGGGCAUUUGUGUUGUUUCUACUGUUUCACUGUAUUGUGUAUAAGUUAAAAACGUACACAUACAGAUUUCUUUUUACAUUUUCAUAUUGCUGGCCACAUUGAUUUUUUUGAGGAAUUGUCCAAUUGGUUUGAAAGUGGCUUUCUGUUCCUGUAACUGUGUGAGCGCUCCAUCUUCUCCAGGAUAUGUUAGUGCCUGUCUUUUGGGUUAUCAUUUUCAUAAAUGAUUUACAGUGCUAUGUUAGGGUUUUGACUUAGAUACCUCCGCCUAAUGAUGCUGAACAUCUUUUCAUGCGCUUAUUGGGAGUGAGGGUGUUCAAAUUUUCUGCCCACUGGUCAAUGGGAUUUCUUGUUGUUCUAAGGGUUCUUACAUGACUGGGAUACAAAUUCUUUAUCAGAUAUUUGAUUUACAAAUGUUGUCUCCCAAGGAGAUGAUGGCCUGGAUGAUGGGUAGGGCUUCUCUGUGUUAGCUUCAGAUGCUGCCAUUUGACCAGAGAGCGGCCCCUCUCCCUAGGUCUUAAGCUUCUUACAGUGUCUUCAUGUUUCCUAGUAUCUCGGUUAUGUGCUCAUUGGGGAAUUGGCAAAUACACUGAAGGAAAAUAGCACACAGAUUUGAAGAGACCUUGUUUGCCCCUUUUCAGGAACUUUUCUCCUAGUCCCUACUACUUCUUCAAUCCCAGACUCUCCAUCUUUGUCUUUCUGGCCCAGUAGAACACUAAUCCCAGGCUGGUGUGCUACUUUGCCAUUAUUCUACUUUUGGGGAAAGCAGAUACCGUUUUGUUUACAGAAAAUAUAUACAGAACACAUAAAAAUGUAUUCUUAUUUGUCACACACACAGAGGCCUCUGACAUAUUUCCUGGGGUGUUUUGCUUUAAGAGGAGAUGUAUUGCAUAGUCUCCAGGCUGGCCUUGCACUCCUGGAGUCAACUGAUCAUUUUGAUUUCCCCUCCCAAAGUACCCAGGACUACAGAUGCAUACCACUGUGCCUGGUUCUGUGUGUGUGUGUGUACAUAUUUGCCCUACUGUUCCAAUUACUGUAUCUAAAAAUCCCUUCAUACAUUAUUCAUAGAGACCUUUACCUUUAUGAUGACAUGUAACUGGAUCGUUGCUUAGGUGUUCUAUAGAAAUUAAAAUUUUUGUCAGCCAAUAAUACACAACCACAGUGUUCUAUGAUUUAUGAAAAUUGUUAUUGAACUGUUAUUUUUUUCUUCUAAGAUCAUGUGCUUUCCUCUAGAAAUCAAUGUAGUUGUUGAUAAACCAUUGCUUUAGUAAAGAGAAAGAAAAACCUACUCUUUGGGCUAUAUUGUCUAUUAAGGCAUGUAGGGUUUUGUUUUGUUUUUAAUGCUGUUACUGCAGUAUUACAGCUUCUAAAUUUGGUUCUGCAGUAAGAAAUUAUUUGGCUUGCAAAAUCAUGUAGUGCUGGGUUUCCAAUAUGAGUAAGAAGGAGAAGCUUCCUCGAGUUUUUUCAGUAAUAGUUUAGACAGCUACACAGCCUGAGUCUUGCCAGAGUUGGCUGUUGUGUGAAAGAAGUCCUAUUUAAUUUCUGAGUCAGGGUGUUGGUGAUGUCUC
rnacentral:lncRNA from 1 species